UCCUCCCUCUUUCUUCGUGCUUAACACAUGCAAGUCGAACGGUGAACGAGGGAGCUUGCUCCCUCCGGAUCAGUGGCGCACGGGUGAGUAACACGUGAGCAAUCUGCCCCGAACUCUGGGAUAAGCGUUGGAAACGACGUCUAAUACCGGAUACGACGCGGGAGGGCAUCCUCUCCGCGUGGAAAGAACUUCGGUUCGGGAUGAGCUCGCGGCCUAUCAGCUUGUUGGUGAGGUAACGGCUCACCAAGGCGACGACGGGUAGCCGGCCUGAGAGGGUGACCGGCCACACUGGGACUGAGACACGGCCCAGACUCCUACGGGAGGCAGCAGUGGGGAAUAUUGCACAAUGGGCGCAAGCCUGAUGCAGCAACGCCGCGUGAGGGACGACGGCCUUCGGGUUGUAAACCUCUUUUAGCAGGGAAGAAGCGAAAGUGACGGUACCUGCAGAAAAAGCACCGGCUAACUACGUG
rnacentral:rRNA from 1 species